rnacentral:misc_RNA from 1 species
GAUGAAGAACGUAGCGAAAUGCGAUAAGUAGUGUGAAUUGCAGAAUUCAGUGAAUCAUCGAAUCUUUGAACGCACAUUGCGCCCUUUGGUAUUCCAAAGGGCAUGCCUGUUCGAGCGUCAUUUGUACCCUCAAGCUUUGCUUGGUGUUGGGCGUCUUGUCUCUAGCUUUGCUGGAGACUCGCCUUAAAGUAAUUGGCAGCCGGCCUACUGGUUUCGGAGCGCAGCACAAGUCGCACUCUCUAUCAGCAAAGGUCUAGCAUCCAUUAAGCCUUUUUUUCAACUUUUGACCUCGGAUCAGGUAGGGAUACCCGCUGAACUUAAGCAUAUCAUAAGCGGGGA